AGAGCUAACAGAGUAGCGACACAGUACGUACCACUCGAAGACAAACAAAUAUGAAUGUUAAUACAAAUACAACGAGAGUUGAGGAUGUGAUGAAUAUGGGUCUUGAAAAUGUUAGUGUUAAUAUCAACAUCAAUCGUGAGGAAUCUUUUUAUGAUUGUCAAAUGCCUCAAACUCCUACUUCACAACCCGAAGGUGAAACUCCAAGGUGUUCAAGACCAAGCAAAUCAAGAUGUUUAGGUACUAUCUCAGAAGAUGAUUAUCUGCUUGAAAAAAAUUAGAAUAAUUACUGAUGCACU
rnacentral:lncRNA from 1 species